rnacentral:rRNA from 1 species
GACGAACGCUGGCGGCGUGCCUAAUACAUGCAAGUCGAACGCAGUGGGGACGGGUGAGUAACACGUGGGUAACCUCCUAUCAGAGGGGAUAACACUUGGAAACAGGUGCUAAAACGAUACUGAUGGAUGGACCCGAGGUGCAUUAGAUAGUAGGUGAGGUAACGGCUCACCAAGGCCACGAUGGAUAGCCGACCGUAGAGGGUGAUCGGCCACACUGGGACUGGGACAAGUCCCAGAAUCCUACGUGAGGAAGCAGGAGGGAAUAUUGGGCAAUGGACGAAAGUCUGACCGAGCAACGCCGAGUGAGUGAAGAAGGUUUUCGGAUCGUAAAACUCUGUUGUUAGAGAAGCGGUAUCUAACCAGAAAGCCACGGCUAACUACGUGCCAGCAGCCGCGGUAAUUC